rnacentral:misc_RNA from 1 species
AAGUCGUAACAAGGUCUCCGUAGGUGAACCUGCGGAGGGAUCAUUACAGAGUUCAUGCCCUAACGGGUAGAUCUCCCACCCUAUGUUAUUCAUUCACUUUGUUUGCUUUUAGGUCGGGGUCCCGUUGCCGAGGGCUCAGCGCCCGGCCUGACCGGCUCACGCUGGUAAGCGCCCGCCAGAGAACCCCAAACCCUGAAUAUUAGUGUCGUCUGAGUACUAUAUAAUAGUUAAAA